rnacentral:lncRNA from 1 species
AUCUGCGCCUGCGCGGCGCCGGAGCCCUGGAUCUGGCCGAGCAGCUCGCCCACCUCUUCCUGGUGGUGGCGCCGCAGGUAGCCGCACUCCUCCUGCAGCGCCUGCGCCUUCUUCUGCAGGUCCACGCGCGCCGCCUCGGCCUCCUGCGCGAAGCGCGCCAGCGCGCGGGCCGCCGCCUCGGCCUCCUCUCGCUGCCGGGCCUCGUCGUCUAGGCGCUGGCGCACGUGCGCGAUGUCCUCGAGCAGGUGCUCCUGCUCCAGGCGUAGCUGACCGCGCGCCGCGCCCAGGCGCAGCACCGCGCCGCGCAUCUCGCGGACCUCGCGCUCGUACAGCUCGCCCAUAGCGGAGCGGCCCGCCUGCUGCUGCCGCAGCGCCGCAGCCUCGCCCUCCAGGCUGCGGUUGUGCGCCUCCAGCUGCCGCACCUUGUCGAUGUACCCGGCGAAGCGGUCGUUCAGCGCCUGCAGCUGCUCCUUCUCACUGCGUGAGGUGGCCACCGCCACCAUGCAGCCCUCCGGCCCGUUGCUCAGCGUGUCCAGCGAGUCGGUGCUUGAGGCGGCGCCUGCGCCACGGAAGCGGCUGGGCGAGGCGGACACGGAGCUCACGGACGUCCGUGUCCACGAGUGGAAGCCGCUGGAGGAGCCAGCGGCGGAGCGCGUCCCGCCUGCGCCACCCUUUCGGGCUAGCGCGUAGUGGAGGCUGCCGCCGCCAUGCAGCGGCGCGAACGGGGCGCCCAGCAGCGCGUCCGCGCCGCCGAAGCUCAUCAUGGCCUGAGCAGGUGCGCGAGGCCGGGACGGGGCGGGAGGCACUGCGGCAGCACCAGGGCGCCGGCCCUUUUAUAGCCGCCGCGGCCGGGUCCAACCCCUUGGCAGUGAGAGGGUGGGGAGGAGGGCCCCGCCCUCUCCGCCUCCUCCCCUGCGGCCCCCCGGCCGACCGGCUCCGCCGCAGUGAGAGGGGCGGGGCAGGGGACCGAGGAGGGAAGGGGAAUCGACGCUGCGUCAGAGGAGACCCUCGAGGUCGGGGAAGCGGGCAGAGGACUCCCGGAGUGGGCCAGUGAGGACCCCCGGGUGCGCGUCGGAAGAGCCUGCGAGUGUGUUCGGAAUAAGAAAGGGGACUUGAAACAGGGAGAGGACAAGGAGAAACCUGAUGGGAAUAGGGGCAGGAUGCCCUCGGGAUGGAGCAAUGGAAGAUUGCAGUCAUUAGGAUGAGGGGAUCCCUGUAUGAGACAGGACACGAGGCUUUCCAAAUAGUUAAGAGAGGCUUUCAGGAUAGGGGGUGCAGAGACUGUGCAGCCAGCCCCGGAACAGAGGAGGGAGCAAGGCAGUCCUGAAUGGGAGCAUGGACGCUCCAUAGAACGGAGACAGGAGACCCCUGACCGGGGGAGGUACAGUGUUCUCCUAACAUCUAGAGGACCCACUUGGAGAGCGCUCAGGAAACUCCGCGGCCAGCCCCGGAAUAGAUGAAGGGGGACCUGGAGUUGGGGAGAAUAGCAAGGCUACCCUGAAUGGGGGUAUGGGAGACACUGCAGAGGAUGGAGAGAGGGAACCCCGGAUGGGUGGGGUUGGGGGGAGGCAAGGCGUUCUCUAAAAAGUCUGCAGUGGCCCCCGAGAGAGGAGAUGGGAGACCCUGCUGCCAGCCCCAGUAAAGGGGACGGACCCUCAGCGAAGCGGGCAGAAGGUCCCCUGAACAGGCAGGAGAAAGCUGGGCUGAGUUUGAGGGGCAGAGAACCUACAGUGGGGGUACCGUAGGAGGGCUUGGGCAUGAAGUUGAGAGAGCUGGCCCCUGUGUGGGGUGGGGGGAAAUGAUGGGUGUCACCCGAGCCAGCUUCUGCACACUGGGGUCAGCUAGGCAGUUUGCUGGUCGAAUGACCUUGGACAAGCUGUGUCCUCCCACCCUUGUUUUUCCAUCUGUACAACGAAGGGGUCUUGCCCCAGAGACAAGCUCCAACUCCUGACCCCCGACUGCCCCAGGAAGUUCCACUUUGAGGGGUCUCUGGCUGAACUGGGGAUGGGGAACCCACAUCUUGCCGUUCUGUCAACACUAGGAAGUCCUCUUUUCUCCCUCCCCCUCCCCAUCUUCUCAGCCUCAACUUGUCCUCUCUUCCCCCACUCCUGUAACAGACAAGCAGGCGCCUGAGUCGGCAUCCCUUCUCUCUUACAGGGAAGUGAUGAGAUGCUUUCUGAGUACCAAAGUCCCUCACCCCAAUAGGAUGUCAGGUAGAAGAAGGGGUCCCCAGGAUUUAGGGGGCCCUGCAACGGCUGUGACAUUUGGCUCUUUAUUGGUUUUGGCUCAUGUUUUAUGCUGUGGGAGUGGGGGUGGUGCUGCGGCUGGCGCUUCAGCACCGGGGACAGGGCCUGCUCUUUGUUGGGCGUGGGGCGGGGAAAGAGAUUAACCCUCUGCUUUUACUUUAGGGGAAGGAAGGGAGGGACACUGUGCUGAGGGGACCCGAGAGGGGAGGCAAGUGAUCCAGCAGGGUCACAUAGUGAGCCAGGGACCCCUCCCUGGACUUCCUGUCGGGGGUCCAGUUCCGUGUUUUCUGGGCUGUUCCCCUCCUGCUUAGGGACCCCUGCGAAAGGACCCCUGGGGAUGCUGGGAGCCCUGAGACGCCCUUGAGAGUUUGUAGACUCGUACUUCCACUCUGAACCUCCCCCAGGCAGUUAUCUCAACACCCACUACACCCCUACUUUACGCGGGUUUUCCUGCUCCAGGAUCCCCAGGACAGAACAGACAUAUCCCCCAGGAAAGACCUCUGCCAGUUCCUUUCUCUUUGCCCUCUGUCUCCUUCCAGCCCCCUAGUUCUAAGCAGACCCUCAGAGCUGGGAAAUUGAUGGCGCUGUCCCUUUAACCACUUUUUACUGGAAGGAGAGUGCGCUGGGAGGAGGGAAGAGGGGGAGGGAGUUUCUGGUUUUGCAUGAAGCAGCAGAACAUGAUGAAGCAUUUUUCCCCCAUCUAAAGAUCCAGUCGUGCUCCAGUUUGCAGAGGGCAAGGGGCUGGUUGCAGGUGGUGCUGGGAGGAUGGAGGUGAGUGGCUGGUCUGAGGUCCCUGAGAAAGGCAUGGGGCGGGUGUUGGGCAGGACUCCCUUGCUCUCAGAUGGCUCCCCAUUUAUUUGUCAUUCUACUUGGAAUUUUGCCAUUGGAGCCUUGUUCCUCUGGGUCUUUUCAGUCUGCACAAUGCUGAUACAUUCUCUGGAUGUGAGAAGGCUCACAAGCAGCUGACAGCAAGGAGGAAUGGGGGUUUGGGGUAAAAAGGGGGCUCCAAGAUGUAUUCUGUUGAGGCCAAGGGGCCACAGCCAUCAGAUUGAAGCUGCCUAUGUAGUCCAAGAAGCCCCAAGCAUGACUCUUGUGGCUGGAGAAAAUGGCAUGAGGGCUGGAGCCCUGAGGUCAGUUCCCCCAAAGGACCCUUCAGGCUCACCUCCAGAAAGCCAUCCCUGGCCGCCUUCACCCCCACAUUUAGUUAAUUGUCCCCUCCUGGUGGUUCCCAUGGUUCCCAGUGCUAAUCUCUAAUGCUGCUCUUACCACUCUGUGGUGUGUAAAUGAAUCAAUGAAUGAAUAAGUUCCGUCUGUUUUCCAGCCAAACUUGUGGUCUGGAGGGGCUGUGAAUGGUUCUGCCCUGAGUCCUUGGGGCUCGAAUCGCUUUCACUUUCCUCCCUGUGAUUCUUACCAUUUGGAAGUGAGUAGAACGAUAUAUUCAUCUAUCUAUCCAUCCAUCCAUCCAUCCACCCGCAGUUCUUGGAGUUAUCUUCCCAAAGCCUGGACUUGGCAGUGAGCAUUGUGAAUCUCCCAGAGGCAAGUAGAGUGUGCUGAGUUUCCCAAACUUAACUGCUCUUGGGCCCUUCUUGUCCCCAAGUGUCUCCAGGACAAGGGUCCAGUGGCUCACACUGAAAGGCACACUGAGAUUUGGGUCUCAGCCCCUGCUGUCCCUGGGCUUUUGUGGACCCCAAGGCUGGUGCUCUUCAGGAACAUACUUGCAGGGUGAAGGAUAAAGCAGUAGGCGCUUAAACAGCCACCAGCCUCGCUGCUACUCACUGUUCACUCGGCAGGGAUCAUUGUCCCUAUUUUAUAGGCAAGUAGACUGAGACCCGAGUGAGGAAGUGGGUUGCCUGAGUUGACUCAGUGACACAGCAGAGCCCAGUGUCUCAACUCAUCCAGACCUGAGCUGGCACAGGACACAGGGUGGAAACUUGUUUCUCUUGCAUAGUAGAGGCCUAGAUGGUCUGAGGGUAGAGGAUUGAGAGGCCUUCAGAGAGGGGAUGGGCAGCUUUCUGGGGCUGGGGUUGGGGUCUGGCCUCUGACAGAUCACCCAUCUGUGAGUCUCUGUGGCCCAUGACCCAACAUCAGCAUAGCCUGUAUGUGAGAACCUACUUCCCGGCCUGGGUACCCUCUGACACUGUGUCACCUCUGUGGGAGCUACAUGUGACCACUGUUUGAGGUGCAGAUGCUAAAUUCCUCGUUCUCUUUUCCUGCUUGUUUUUUCUCCAUAGGACUUGACGUUUUCUGACAUGCUACUAUGCAUCUUCUCCACUAAAUAGAACUUCAUCAGGACAGGGAUUUUUGUUUGUUUUAUUCACUGCUGACAUCUCCAGUGCUCGGAAUAUUGUCUGGCAUAUAGUGGGUGCGUAGCAAAUAGUUUCAGGAUGACUGCGAGGCUCUGCCUGAGAGGCCCGUGAUCACCCAGACAUUUUAGCACUGGGCAUCUGGACAGUUCCAGGCCCUAGGGAGGCUGCCCGCAGGUUGACUGGAGAAGGAGGUCUUGAAAGUGUGGCCCCCAUCCUGGGGCCUGAAGCCUCCCAGCCCGAGCUGUGUAGUCCCCUUUGCUGAGGCUCAACCUUGCUGGCUUUGUUGUCUGCAGACUCACCCUGCUCCUGCACAGCCUGUUCCUUUUUAUGUUCAGCAAUUCCUUUUAGGAAGUGCUGAGCCUUUCUUCUUGCUUCCUUUCCCCGUGAAUGUCCGUCAUGUCCCACAUUCUCCGUCUCUCCUCUUGCCCCUCUCUCCACUGCAUUCCCUUCCUUCUCCCUCUAUUAUAUCCCUCCCUCUUUCCCCCCAAUUUCUCUGUCCUCUUUAUUCCUCCCCUUUUCCUUCCUCUCCCUCCUUUUUUCUCCUCUCCCUCCUUAGAGAUGCCGUCUUUUUGCCGCGUUUGAAUCUGAUUUAUAAUAAAAGGGCGGCAGUCUCCCCAUGUCUACUCCGUUUAGGACACAGACAGCAAAAAACUAAACUGUGUGCAGUUUUGCAUAAGCCUCCCCCUCCUAGCUUCCACCCACAGCCUUAACCCCCAGGGACCAGCCACCGCAGACUCAGGCCUGCAGCAGGUCUGCCUGCCUGCCUGCCCGCCCAUCUGCCGCCCUGGGACUGCACCAGGUGGGAAGCUGGAUUCUACCCCAAAGGCCAGGAACUGGUGGAUGGGGUCACAGGUCCACCCUAUCUCCCCUGCUCUAGUUCCUGCUGUGGGAGAUUAUGGAUGAAUGAUUCUUGGGCUGUGGUUCCCAAGAUGGAGAGUGAGAUGGUUUAUUGGACUUUCAUCUAGUAACUGGGGCUUGCCAAGUUACAAGUGCCCCAGGGCUGUCAUUACUCUUCUUACCUAGAGCAAGAGGCUAAGUAGCAAUGGGAAUGAAGGCUGUCAUCUAAGGAAAGGAGGAGAUGCCUGGCCUCUCUUAUUCUUGCAAUCCUAUGAAAUAGAUACCAUUACUAUCCCCAUGUCAUGGUUUGAGAAAUGAAGAGAGGCUGGUCAUGGUAGCUUAUGCCUGUAAUCCCAGCACUUUGGAAGGCCAAGGUGGGAGGAUCACUUGAGCCCAGGAGCUUGAGACCAGGCUGGGCAACAUAGCAAGACUCCAUCUCAAUAAUAAUAAUAAAUAAGUUUUUUAAAAAAUGAUGGCUCAGGUUGAAUAACGUGCCCCAGGUUAUACAUCUGAUAAGUGGUGGAGCUGGGAUUUGAACUCAGGUCUGAUGGGCUCUGCAGGAGGAAUACUGAACUACAAGACUGUACAUCUCGCAUUCAAGGCAGGCCCAACUGGACCCAGCACUUUCCUGAUUCCAUCACAGCUGGCCAGGGUCUUUGCUCUAGGGCUUCCUUCUGGUGCCUUGGUGGAAGCAAGGGGGAUUGAAAAUUGGCUCAAUCAAAAUUUGUUUCUUUUCCCCCAGGUUUUUAUACUCUCUCUGGUUGUCUUGAGGGAAGGAGGCUUCCCAAGCAGUAUAGUCAGGAAGUUAAAAUGAUGACUAGCUCAGCUUUCUGGAUGAUCCUGACUGAAGAGAUAGAUAAGUAGAAAGAAGUCAUUGGACAGUGAUUGAUGUUCACAGUGUACAUCUUUUUUUUUUUUUUCAAAGUCUUGCUCUGUCGCCCAGGCUGGAGUGCAGUGGCACAAUCUCAGCUCACUGCAACCUCUGCCUCCCAGGUUCAAGUGAUUCUUGUGCCUCAGCCUCCCGAGUAGCUGGAAUUACAGGUAUGUACCACAUGCCUGGCUAAUUUUUGCACUUUUAGUAGAGGUGGGGUUUCGCCAUGUUGGCCAGCCUGGUCUGGUCUUGAACUCCUGGCCUCAAGUGAUCCACUCGCCUCGACCUCCCAAAGUGCUGGGAUUACUAACGUGAGCCACUGCACCUGGGCUCACAGUUUAAAUCUUGAGUAAUGGAGAAAACAGCUUUGUCAUCCUUUACGUGGUGGGCACCUGCCUGCUGUGCUCCACGUACAUACGUGGUGUCUGCAACAACUCUGUCAGCUGUGCAAGGUCACUGUCCUCUACAGAGUAGAACAUCGACACUGAGAAAGUGACCUGCCAAGGCCACAGAGUGAGGUGGUGGAGGGGCUGUGGCUCACAUCUAGGCUUUGUCCAGGACCCUUGCACCUCCCACUAUCCAUACUGACUCUCAGGAAAAAAAUAAGAAAAGGUUUCAGUGCUGUUUCAUCUCUUUAUUCUGGGGGAGAAGGAGGGAGCCCAUAGUACAUUUGAGAGAAAGAUUCAUGCCAGAGUUUAAAUUGGAAUGUUGGGGGCCGAGUGCAGUGGCUCACACCUGUAAUUCCAGCACUUUGGGAGGCCAAGGCAUGCGGAUCACCUGAGGUCAGGAGUUCAAGAUGCCUGGCCAACAUAGUGAAACCCUGUCUCUACUAAAAAUACAAAAAUUAGCCGGGUGUGGUGGUGCGUGCCUGUAAUCCCAGCUACUCAGGAGGCUGAGGCAGGAGAAUCACUUGAACCCAGGAGGCGGAGGUUGCAGUGAGCCGAGAUCACGCCAUUGCACUCCAGCCUGGGUGACAGAGCAAGACUCUGUCUUGAAAAACAAAACAAAAAAAAACGGGAUGUUGGGACUUGAGGGAGAAUUAACAGUUGGAUAAAAGUUCAUUCCUGAUGGCCAAUGUUGGCAUUACUGAGCCCUAAAAGAGGCCCCCCAGGCUGGGCACGGUGGCUCACGCCUAUAAUCCCAGCACAUUGGGAGGCCAGGGUGGGAGGAUCGCUUGAGCCUAGGAGUUUGAGACCAGUGUGGGCAACAAAGUGAGACCCUGUUUCUACAAAACAAUUUAAAAAUUAGCUGGGUGUGGUUGUGUGCAUCUGUAGAUCCAGCUACCUGGGAGGCUGAGCUGGGAGGAUCAUUGAGCCCAGGAGUUCAAGGCUUCUGUGAGCUAUAAUUGUGCCACUGCACUCCAGUCUAGGUGACAGAGUGAGACCCUGUCUCUUAAAAAAAAAAAAAAAGAAAAGAAGAAAAGCCCCUGCAAGUGGGCAUGGCCCCAGGCUUGGUGGACAUGAAGCUUCCCCUGCCCAGGGGCAGCUGCACCCUGGCUUGUCUCUCUGCAGCUGUGUGGGGACAUGGAGGACUCGGGUGCAGCCUGGCACUGCCAAAGACAGCAGAUGCCAGCAUGAGAGAGACAUGCCAAGAAAGUUUCUGAAACCUCUGCCUCAGCCCCGAGCGAGGCACUCCGUGUGCAUGGAAAACUGCAGGAGCCCAGAGUGAACCUGAACCAGGGACCUGGCCACACACAGCAGGGACAGCUCUGCUGGGCGCCUGAACUACCUUCUGGCAUUUGGGGAGGUUAAGUGGCAGAGGAAAGAGGAAGCAGGGCUUGAGGUCUUUGCUGUCUGUUAGGGGGAGUUAGUGGAGAAAAUAUACUUUUUAUUAAACGUUUUGCUUGUGUGGUGGUCACCACAGAAUUUCAUUGCAAAUUCCUGGGCUCGUCCAGAUCAUCCAAGUCAGAAUCUCUGAUGGAGCCUGGGGAUGUGCAUUCUGAGCCAGUGUCCCUAGAGCAGGAGAACUGACUCUGGAUCUGGCCUCAGCCAACCUUCCAGGCUCAUCGUUCGAGCUCCCACAGAGUCUUUCACAUAGACUUUUACAAACAUGAUCUCAUUUAAGCUCCACAACUCUUUAUCUAUCUAUCUAUCUAUCUAUCUAUCUAUCUAUCUAUCUAUCUAUCUAUCUGUGUAUCUAUCUAUCUAUCUAGUAUUUUGAGAUGGAGUCUUGCUGGAGUGCAGUGGCGCGAUCUCGGCUCACUGCAACCUCUGCCUCCCGGGUUCAAGAGAUUCUCCUGCCUCAGCCUUCCGAGUAGCUAGAACUACAGGCACGUGCCACCAUGCCCAGCUAAUUUUUUUUUUUUUUGUAUUUUUAGUAGAGAUGGGGUUUCACCGUGUUAACCAGGAAUGUCUCGAUCUCCUGACCUCGUGAUCCACCCGCCUCAGCCUCCCAAAGUGUUGGGAUUACAGGCGUGAGCUACCACGCCCGGCCCUAGGCUCCACAACUCUAAGAAGCUUUGGUGAGUAAACAGGCCUGAAGAGGUGAAAUCAUUUGCCAAGCACAGAACCAGGAUUCAAAACUUUGCAGUCUGGCUCUAGAAUGCCACCCCGUCCCACCUCAGGACUGGCCCUCUCCUGGGAAUUCCUUUCUCCCUCAUCCUCCAUGUCCUUUCUCUGUGGAGCCGUGUGCCCUGCCCAUAUCUAAGUACAUGUCCUGGGAUCCAGGGGAUGACAUAUACUGGAGUCCCUGGUGCCCAUGCCUUCUGACUCCUCCUAGACCAUGAGCUGAGGGGACAGAGAGUGGCUCUUGCACCUGGGGGGCUCAGGGUGUGUACAGUGGGUGAACAAAUGGGGGGACAUUUGAGGCCCAGGCAGAAGGACACAGAAUGUUCCCUGGUGGCAGCUUAGGAGGGGGCAGGGGCUGGGCAGAGGGGGCAGUUGUGUCCUUCCCUACCUGAACCUCUUCUACUCUCUGGGUCCACCGCCAUGAAAUUAUUCAUUCUGCCACAUUCUCUUGCACCCUGGCUUUCUGUCUGAAAUCCUUUCUCUGCCCCAGUAUUCACUCUCCGACUCUUCAGCUCACUCCUCUUAAUCCUUGAGACGUUCCAGGUUACCUGCUCCCUCAGGAGCUUUGCUAACCCCAAGGUUGUGAUAACUGCUUUCUUUAGGCUCCCACAGUUGCUCGUUCUAAUCCCAACACGGUAUUUGAAGGGCUAUUUAUUUCUCUCCUGACUGGACUGUUGGGAGCUUUGUAAGGGCAAGAGCCAUCUCUUAUUUAAUGUUGUAUUCCUAGGGCCUGGUACCAGAGUAUUAGUAAAGCUUGUUGAAUGAAUAAAUGCGAUUCAGCGGUGACUUCCCAUAGAUGCUACUCCAUGUUAUUCAUGUCACUGUAAUCCAUCUUGGGCUGCAUUUCACAAGCCAGCAUUGAAGAAAGCUGGGCUCAGAGAGCCUUAGAGACCAUCAGUGGUACAGAUGAGGAAACCGAGGGCAGGCCUGGUUCUCACUGCCUCGCCUCUGGUUCUGCGACUGGAGCUCCGUGAGGACAGGAACCAGGACUUGGAUGUUGUUUUCUGGCUUGGCAGGGUGCUUUGCCUGUGAUCACAGUCAUUGCCUUUUACUAGGUGCUUAUAAGGUGCCAGCCCCUUUAUGUGUUUUUCCACGUUUGCAUAUCCACAGGGAAGGGAGGUGCAAUUAUCCCCAUUUACAGAUCAACAAACAGGUGUAGGGAGGUUAAGUAAUUUGGUUAUUUAUCAGUGUCUUCUGGUUCCUUUCAUAAAUUUAUCUGGGUUCCACUGUAGCCUCACAACAUUGUCAUCAAACCCACUUUCGGCGGUGCAGUGGCUCACACCUCUAAUCCCAGCACUUUGGGCGGCCAAGCGAGAGGAUCGCUUGAGCCCAAGAGCUCGAGACCAGCCCAGGCAACACAGAAAAACCUCAUUUCUACAAAAAAUAAAAUAAAAUAAAAAUAGCUGGGUGUGGUGGCGCGCCUGUGGUCCCAGCUCCUCGGGAGGCUGAGGUGGGAGGAUCGCUUAAACCUGGAGAGGCGGAGGUUGCAGUGAGCCGAGAUCACGCCACGGCACUCCAGCCUCGGCAACAGAGCGAGACCCUGUCACAAACGAACACUCUCCAGAGGGGGAAACCGAGGCCCUGGGACUGCAGAACCGGUUUCUCUGCCUCGGCAUACUGCCUCGGCUGGCUCUGCGCUUGAUAGAAUCGCGCCAGCAACAGCGCCCCCUGCAGGCGACGGCGGGCACGCCUGCGUCACAGCCAUCCCCGCCCUUCCGCAGUGGGAACGCCCGAAUGCUUCAUCCGGCCUCGGAAGAUUGAAGAGCGCUCCUCCAAACUGGCUCAGGGAAGCCGGGCGCGCCGCCUUCAGCCCCGCCUUGGCCGCCGCGGCGUCGCAUCAGUGGCAUCCCCAGGGGCUGCAGGAAGGUAGCCGUAGCCUUGGCUGUCGUGGCUUCCCUCAUCGUAACGGCCUGGGGGCAGCGGUGCUCAAAGAACUCAGGGGGUGGGGCUCAGGUAGGGGCAUGGCCGGUGCUCUUCCUAGGGGCGGGAUCCUGGGAAAGGGGAUCGUCCCAGAAGGACCCAGCCACAAGCGAGGACACCGGUGCAUCAAGCCCUGGCGCCUGUGUUUCCGUGAACAGCGCCCUUCUCCUCCUCCCCAGACAUUGGUCCUGGCACCUGUGUGUCCGUGGGCAGCAGCCUCUUCCUCCUCCCCAGACCUCAGUUUCUGCACGUGUGAAAAGGGGGCUCUUCCAAGACUCUUACAUGAAUGCAAAAAUCGGGAUUUCGUCCAGCAUGCUCAGAAUUGUCGACCCUACACAGGCACCUGAGAAAUCAGAGCUGAGUCAGGAGAGCCGGUGUGGAUGUACUGGGAGCUCCUUCCCUUGCUGCGUCAGCACUCUUGAGACUGGAGAGCCCUGGAGGUUGGGGACCGGCCACUUGCUGGUGGACCAGACUCCCUGCAGUCUGGGAUGGUGACAGACAUGAGACAUGGCUGUGGAAGUAAUUGGUAACAGUAGUAGCCCGCAUUUAUUGAGCACUGACUAUGUGCUUGGCUUUGUGUGAAGGCCAGUCACAUGCAUUAUUUCCCCCUCCCACAGCCUUGUCUGGUGGGUACUGCUAUUCUGUCCCCAGUUUACUGAUGAGACAUUUGAGGCCCAGAGUUGCUGGGUAGUAACCAGUCCAAAGUCACCCUGCUGACAAGUAGCUGAAGCAGUAGUCCCCAGUCUUACCUACUAUACUGUACUGAGAAAGGUUUGACCUGGAAGGCAGAAUGGCAGAGGGGGAAAUGACAAGGUUCUAGCAGUAUUAAUAAUAGAUACCAUGCAUUGAGCACCCACUAAGUGCUGGGUGCUGGCCCAAGGGCAUUUCAUGAAUCAUUUAUCCUCCUGACAGUGAACCCUAUACUGUAAAUUUUAUUUCCAUUUCAAAGGUGAAGCUCGGAGAAGUCACUUUAUAUGCCUUAGGGCACAUAUAGUAAAAAACUAACUUUUCGAUUCAUUGAUGGUGCAUUCUGCCUGCCUGCAUGUCACUCUUAGGCAUAUUCCACUCUUCUCUGAGUCAAGCUUUCUCCUACUGUGAAAUGAGAGGCUUGGACUGGGAGACUUUGAAUGUUCUUUCCCCAGCCGAUGUUGUUUGAUUUUAGGGAGUUUUGACAUGAAUGUUGGAGAUCUGGAUUUGAGGAUUACAUUUGUUCCUAAUUAACUGUAAUUUAGGCACAUCUCUGCAUCUCUGGGCUUCAGUUUCCGCAUUAGUAAAAGGUAAGACUAGACCAGGCAUGUUGGCUCAUGUCUGUAAUCCCAGAACUUUGGGAGGCUGAGGAGGAAGGAGGAUUGCUUGAAGCCAGGAGUUUGAGUCCAGCCUGGGCAACAAAACAAGACCCUGUCUCUACAAUAAAAAAAAAUUAAAAAGUUCAAAUUAGCCAGGUGCAGUGGCUCAUGCUUGAAGUCCCAGCUACUUGGAGAGCUGAGGUGGGAUACUCACUUGAGCCCAGGAGUUUGAGGCUGCAGUGAGCUAUAAUCAUGCCACUGCGCUCUAUCCUGGGCAACAGAGCGAGGCCCCGUCUCUAAAAAGAAAAUGGGCUGGGCACGGUGACUCACACCUGUAAUCCUAACACUUUGGGUGGCUGAGGUGGGAGGAUCACUUGAUCCCAGGAGUUUGAGACCAGCCUGGGCAACAUGGCAAAACCCUGUCUCUACGAAAAAUACAAAAAACUGGCUAGGCAUGGUGACAUGUACCUGUGGUUCCAGCUAUCUAGCUAUCCGGGAGGUGGAGGCAGAAGGAUCACCUGAGCCCAGGAGGUUGAGACUGCAGUGAUCCAUGAUCACGCCACAGCCUUGGCAACAGAGUGAGACCCUGUCUCAAAAAAAAAGAAAAAAAAAUUACAGAGAUUAGCAUUUCCAAUCACCAGAGUGCCUUCUGGCUUGAAUAUUUUAUGACUGCAGAUGAAGAGACAACCUGAGGUUCAGCAAACUGCAUCCUCUGAGAAAGUCUAAUGAACGUAAAUCUGCUACCUUACUCAGAAUGUCCCUGGCACAAGUUUCCAAGGAUAGACCCUCUGUGUGAAGGGGAGCAGCUGCCUUUGAGCAAUCAGCAGUAACUGCUUGGGGAGGCUUAGUCCCCUAAUAGUUCAGAAGUCACCUCCAAGGUCAGACGGACCCACAGCUGAACGCCAACACUUCCACUUCUCGGUAAGGCAUCUCAGGCAAGUGACCUUUCCUUUCUGUAUCUCAGUUUCCCCCGUAUAAGAUGGAAUGCUGGCUGGGCACGGUGGCUAAUCCCAGCACUUUGGGAGGCCGAGGCAGGCAGAUCACCUGAGGUCAGGAGUUAAAGACCAGCCUGGCCAACAUGGUAAAACCCCAUGUCUACUAAAAAUACAAAAAUUAGCCAGGUGUGUUGGCAGGCACCUGUAGUCCCAACUACUAGGGAGGCUGAGGCAGGAGAAUCGCUUGAACCCGGGAGGCAGAGGUUGCAGUGAGCCGAGAUUGCUCCACUGCACUCCAGCCUGGGCAACAGAGCAAGACUCCCUCUCAAAACAAAAACAAACAAAACAAAAGGAUGCUAAUGGUACCAGCUUCAUCUGGGAAUUGGUGAGUAAACAUGGGGGGAAAAAUCUAACACCAUUUUUUUGGCCUAGAAAAUUCUCAGUAAACACAACUGUUACUAGUUGUGUCUGCAGCACCAGUCUGGGCAGCACCAGUCUGGGCACUGGGGGAGUUCCUAAGCCUUGGACCCCACCCAUCCUCUAUGCCCUAAGAUGAUUUUAGGGGAGGAGAGGCAGGAUCCUGCUGAGUCAGUGGAGGAUCCAGAGUUAGGACUCAGGCAGCCCCCACCUCUGAGGUUGCCAACACCAGCUUCUGGCCUAAAGUGGCAUUAAUGGGCAUUCUAGCAUGUCCCUAGCUGGCAGCAGCUCCUGGGGAGGGGCAGCGGCCGCUGAGAAUAGGGAGGCAGAGGAAUGGUGUUAGGAGUCCUGCAGUGUGUGCCGGGGACUAUGGCUCAGCGCAUCCUUGUGGUUCCAGGUGAGUUAACUGAAGUGUGUGCCGUGCUUUGGGCUUUUAUGAAGUGCAUUUGCAUCAGUUGUGUCCUCAGGACAGGGUUGAGUGGCAUAGGAUACAGGGUUCUCAACGAGCAGUAUAGGGAUUCGACUACUGCAGACCUGUACAAGGGAUCAGGAACCCCCAAAACUGUGCAGGAUUGUGUGGGUGAUUCUCCAGAGGCAUAAGACCCAAAAAUGUCAAAAGAGUUCUUGAUUUAGGAGUCAGAAGACCUGCUCACUAGAUCCCAUCCCCAUUUCUCCCUUUCUUCCACCCUUCUUCUUCCUUCCUUCCUUCCUUCCUUUCUUUCUUUCAUUUGUUCAUUUGUUCGUUCAUUUUAGAGACAGAGACUUGCUGUGUCGCCCAGGCUGGAGUGCAGUGGUGCAAUCUCAACUCACUGCAGCCUUGACCUCCUGGGCUCAAGCGAUCCACCCACUUCAUCCUCAGCUUCCCGAGUAGCUGGGACAACAGGUGCACACCACUAUGCCUGGCUAAUUUUGUUAUUUUUUUAUUAUUAUUUUUUGGUAGAGACACCCCAUCUCACCAUGUUGCCUGGCUGGUCUCGAACUCCUGGGCUCGAACAGUUCUCCCACCUUGGCCUCUCAAAGUGCUGAGAUUACAGGUGUGAGCCACUGCACCUGGGCCUUCCCUCCUUCUGUCUCAUCCAUUCAACAGACAUUUCCUAAGAUGUGUUUCAGGCCCCACCCUGCACUGGGAAUACAGCCAUGAAGAAGACAGGCUCCCAGCUCCCCAGCAAGUUUGGGGCCAAUUUUGUAAGAACUGAUAGAGGGGGCAAGUCCAGGGGUUGUUAGAGCUUCAAACUGGGGCUCCUGACCCAGCAUGUGGUGGGGGGCAAGCUGGGAGUCAGCAGGGGAGUCCUGGCUCAGUGCCUGUGGCCUUGGGUAGGCCACUAGCCUUGCUGAGCCUCAGUUUACCCCCCUCUCCUUGAUGGGACCACUUGACAGAAUGGGGUGAGGAUGGAGGAGAUGCGGGCCUGGUGGAGCCUCCUCAAAGGGGAUGUGGCUGUGUUUCGGCUCCCAUGGAGCCAGGACACCACCCGGGCACCCAGGCUCACAGCACAGUGCUCCCUUUACUUUGUUGGAGCUGGAGCAUUUCCCGUUUGAAACAGGCCAGAGGAAGAACACUGGUGAGGAAGUCAGAGAUCUGGCCCUGGGCCCCAGGGCUCUGCCUGGCCUCACUGGCCAACCUCAGACACCUUACCGAGGGCCUUAGGUUCCCACCCACACACACAGGAGGCCAGGCUGCCUGAUCUUCUAUGGACAAAUACAUAUGAGCAGCGGGGGUACCAAGAAAGGUGAGCAGCCAGGGAGAGCCUCCCAAAGGAGGUGGCAUAGCUGCAGCCUGAAGGAUUGAGAGCAAGAGUGGGGAAAUAACUGGAUGGGUUCCCUGGUCCCGAAGUGUUUCUGGUAGAACCUCUAGGGGUGAUGGAGGAAUGUGGGGAUGGGGCCCUGGGCUCGGGGAGGAGAGAAGGAGGGUCGGGGAGAGCUGCCCCUUUGCUCCAAGGCUCUCUUAACUGGUGACAAAGAGCAGGCCCUUGGGGCCAGGAAGGCCUCGGUUUGAAUCCUUUUUGACAUUGCUUCAUUAAGGACCCCUAGGUAAGGGUUUCAUCUGUCUAAGCUUCAUUACUUCCAUCUGGGAAAUGGGUGAUAAUCAUACCACAUUCAAAAGGUUGUUGGCUAUUAUAUGACUUUAUUUAUAUGAAAUGUCUAGAAUAGGCAAAUCUAUAGAGACAGAAAAUAGAUUAGUGGCUACCUAAACCUGAGAGGAUAAGGGACUUGGAGAGUGAUAGCUAAAGAGUAUGAGGUUUCUUUUUGGGAUGAUGAAAAUAUUCUUUUUUUCUUUUUCUUUUUCUUUUUUUUUUUUCUUUUGAGACAGAGCUCACUCUGUCACACAGGCUGGAGUGCAGUGUUGCAAUCUUGGCUCACUGCAGCCUCCGCCUCCCAGGUUGCAGCAAUUCUCCUGCCUCAGCCUCCCAAGUAGCUGGAACUACAGGCUCAUGCCACCAUGCCUGUCUAAUUUUGUAUUUUUAGUAGAGACAAGAGUUUCACCAUGUUGGCCAGGCUGGUCUCGAACUCCUGACCUCAAGUAAUCGGCCUGUUUCAGCCUCCCAAAGUGCCAGGAUUACAGGUGUGAGCCACUGUGCCUGGCCUGGGGUGAUAAAAAUGUUCUAAAAUUGAUUGUGAUGGUUGCACAACUCCAUAAACAUGGCAUUGUUGCUUUAAAUGGUUGAGUUGUAUGGGAUGUGAAUUAUCUCUCAAUAAGGCUGUUAUUAAAAAACCAAGAGGUUCAGACGAGAUGUUCCACGCUCCCUAAAUGUUGGCUGUCACUGGUGUUAUUUACUCCUGGCAGCUCUUCCAGCCCUCCUCCAGAGAGGGCUGAUAGGUUCCGGGAGAAGGGGAAGGGGCCUGGGCCCCUACUAGCUGGCUAGGGGCCCCAAGCAAGCUACAUAACCUCCCUGAGCCUCAGUUUUCUCAUCUGUGAAAUGGGUGGGGGCGGUUUUCCAGGCCUUGGCCACCUCUUUGGACACUGUGCUGCUCAGAUCAGACCAUGGGCUUUGCUAGAUAUAGUUACAUGGCCAGUUGUAGAGAAGGGCAGUGGGGGGAUUGGAUGUUCUCUCCGUCUGCACCCAGAGGGGCUGACUUCACACAUCCGCUCAUGGUUGCAUACCGAGUGUGUUUUGUGAGCAAGGCACCAUGCAGGAGAUGGAGGAGGGACCGCAAGAGCCUGUGCCCCAGCCUGCCUGGAGCUCAGAGCCCCAGAAAAGGGACACGCAAGGGUUUGCCAGGGCUGAUGGGAGCACUGCUGGCUGUGCAGGCCAUCAUUUCAUCACUCUGGCCCUCAGUUACCUCAUCUGUAAAAAGGGGAAUAAAUGGUACCUCCCUGCUAGGGUCGUGCUGAGGCUCACAGUGGCUGGCAUAGCAUCUCUAGUAAAUACACAGGAACCAUUGUCGUCACUAUGGCUAUCAAUAUCAUCAGCCAUCAGGUGCCUUUUGUCCCCUCCCCCCCUCCCCUUGGCUAACUUGUCGCAUGGUGAAUCAUGUCAGGGCUAGCUUUCCUGUCUCUGUCCCUGCCCCAGAGCAUCAACCAACUUCCAGGGUGGAGCCUGGAUGCUCCCUUUUCAGACCCAGCCCACGCACCCAAAGAAGCUGUAGGCUCCUCAGUGAGCCUCGAGCCCCUUUCCUGCCCCCAUUUCUUCAGGCCCAGCUGCAGAAGGCAUGACCCUCUGGCCAGCCCGAGACUGAAGCCUCCCUCCUGUCCUGUCCUCUCCUUCCACCUGGCUGCAGGGUAAGGUCAACAGGCCACCCCCAGCCAGCCUUUCUGGGCGUUCUACUCUCUCUGCGGCGAGAGCCAGUUGAGCCCAACUCAGAAUCUCCUCCCGCAUUCCUCCACCUGCAGAGCCGCAGCAGGGCUGGGGACCUGGCCUGGGCCUCCACAGCCUCUGCAGCAUCCCUGUCACUGUGGUGGGCGAAGGGCCCAGAUGGGGGGCAGGCAUCCCUGCUGGAUGCUAGUCCCUGCUCCUGACCAGUAGCCGCAGUGCCUGAUUUAUGGCUCCCUCUGGGCUCUCUCCAGCAAAACUGCUUGCAAACCACUCCUGGCCUGUUCUUUUCUGGGUCCUGGUUUGCAGACAGGUUGCCUCAGGCCACAGCCUGCAGCCCCACCCCACCACACCCCCAGUCCCCAACCACCAGGCACCUGGGACAUCAGGGCAGGUUGUGCCUUGAGAAGAAGGACAAAGUUCCAUCCCAGCCCUGCCAUGGGUGGGCUGGAUGGCCUAAAGUGGCUUAUGGAACCUCUCUGGGCCUCAGGUUUGCUGUUUGCACAUUGAAUGAUCUUGAAGGUAUCCUCACUGAUACCCAUGCUUCUGAGUUUCCUUCACAUGGCCCCACCGCCUCCCAAGUCUUUUGCCUUGGAACUGAGUCUCCUUUUUUUUUUUUUUUUUUUUGAGAUGGCGUCUUGCUUUGUUGCGUAGGCUGGAGUGCAGUGGCACAAUCUUUGUUCACUACAACCUCCGCCUCCUGGGUUCAAGAGAUUCUCCUGCCUCAGCCUCCCAAGUAGCUGGGAUUACAGGCGUGUACUACCAUGCCUGGCUGAUUUUUGUAUUUUUAGUAGAGAGGGGCUUUCGCCAUGUUGGCCAGGCUGGUCUUGAACUCCUCACCUCAAGUAAUCCGCCCACCUCAGCCUCCCAAAGUGCUGGGAUUACAGGUGUGAACCACCAUGUCUGGCCUGGAACUGGGCCUUCCAUGUGUCUAAAUGGAGACCCCAGCAACCAGGCCAGGUGAGCAAGAAAGAACUAGGCCUGGGUGGGUGAUGGGUACUGGAGACACCCAUCUUUGGAGCCCCACAGCCUUGGGCAGGACCGCUGGCUUUUUCCAGGCCACUCUCUUGCCUCCCUGAGCCCCAUCCAUAAAAUAGGGAGAGUCGGACCUGAGCUAUUGCAGGUGGAUCCCUGUGCUAGACACAGCUUGAGCGGGUGACAAUAAAUAUGGGUCUCUUUUCCCUUCAAGGCCUGGCUCAGCAUCCUCAAGCCUGGUUCCCAGGGGCUGCCAAGUCCAGGCCACUGCAGACAGUGGGAGCAUGGGCUGUGGGUGGGCAUUUUGUGGCCAGCGUGGGGGUGGGGGUGGCGGUCAUCACUGUGCCUCCAGGUCAUCUGUCUGAUCCAUGAGCAGGAAGUGGGGAGGCCACAGUGGUCCCCAACACUGGGUGUCUGCAAGGAGGGCGUGGAACUGUCGAGAGCUUGGUGGCCUGUUUGCUCAUGUGUGCAUCCACUCAGACAUAUUUAGUCAGCAUCAUCUUCUUCUUCUUUUUUUUUUUUUCUUUUGAGACGGAGUUUCACUCUUGUCACCCAGGCUGGGUCUCAGCUCACUGUAACCUCUGCCUCCUGGGUUCAAGCGAUUCUCCUGCCUCAGCCUCCCAAGUAGCUGGGACUACAGGUGCACGCCACCAUGCCCGGCUAAUUUUGUAUUUUUAGUAGAGAUGGGGUUUCACCAUGUUGGCCAGGCUGGUCUUGAACUCCUGACCUUAGGUGAACCACCUACCUCGGGCUCCCAAAGUGCUAGGAUUACAGGUGUGAGCCACCGCACCUGGCCUAGCCAGCAUCUUCCUGAUGGCCACUCUGCACCUGGGUCUGCAGAGGACCGUUCUAAGCACCUUACAUGCAUUAACUUGCUUUUAUCCUCACGACAACCCUACAGGGUAAGCACUGGUCACAUCAUUUUUGCUCAAGGUAACACAGCUGAUAAAUGGUAGAAUCAGGGUCUGAAGCCGGGCCAUCCUUUCAAGUCCAUGGCAAACGCCUUUUCUCAGCUUCGCACUGCCCUCAGCACCAGCCUGCUUCCUGCUCAUCUGGAAGCAGCAUUGCAUCCCCGCUCUGGCCUUCGCUCUUGCUGCUCACCGCACCGCCCCCUUUCCUGACUCCCUUUCUCCUCUGAUUGAACAACAAACUGAUAGCCUUCUAGACUCAGCUGUAUGGCUGGGUGCAGUGGCUCAUACCUGUAAUCUCAGCAUUUUAGGAGCCUGAGGUGGGAGGAUCACUUGAGGUCAGGAGUUCAAGACCAGCCCGGGCAACAUGAUUGAAACCCUGUCUCUACAAAAAGUACAAAAAUUAGCCAGGUGUGGUGGUCAGCGUCUGUAGUCCCAGCUACUCAGGAGGGUGAGGCAGGAGGAUUACUUGAGCCUGGGAGGUCAGGCUGUAGUGAGCCGAGAUUGCACCAGUGUACUCCAGCCUGGGCAGCGACAGUGAAACCCUGUCUUGAAAAAUAAAAAAAUAAGACUCAGCUGUGGCAUCACCUCCUCCAGGAAGCCUUCCUUGAUGCCCUUCCUGUCCCAGGCUGAAUUAGGCUCCUCCACUGGCCUCUCUCAGUUUCCCCUGUCCGGCACUCAUCCAUCUUGUUGCAAGCAUCUGUUCAUGUGUUUACCUCCUCUACCAGACUGUAAGCCCCUCGUCCUCACCUUGACACCCACUGUGCCUGGCACCAUUUGUGGUACAGAGGAGAUCACUGGGGAAUUUUGAAGGGCCAAAUCUUUUUUUUUUUUUUUUGAGAUAGAGUUUUGCUCUUGUUGCCCAGGCUGGAGCGCAAUGGCACAAUCUCAGCUCACCACAACCACCGCCUCCCGGGGUUCAAGUGAUUCUCCCACCUCAGCCUCCCGAGUAGCUGGGAUUACAGGCAUGCGCCACCACAGCUGGCUAAUUUUGUAUUUUUAGUAGAGACAAGGUUUCUCCAUGUUGGUCAGGCUGGUCUCAAACUCCCAAACUCAGGUGAUCCACCCGCCUCAGCCUCCCAAAGUGGUGGGAUUACAGGCGUGAGCCACCAUGCCCGGCCUUUUUUUUUUUUUUUUUUUUUAAUGGAGUCUUGCUCUGUUUCCCCGGGCUGGAGUGGCAUGAUCUUGGCUCACUGCAACCUCUGCCUCCUGGGUUCAAGCAAUCCCCCCACCUCAGCCUCCUGAGUAGGUGGGAUCAUAGAUGUGUGCCAGCAUGCCCAGCUAAUUUUUUAUAUUUUUAGUAGAGACAGGGUUUUGCCAUGUUGGCCAGGCUGGUCUCGAACUCCUGACCUCAAGUGAUCUGUCUGCCUCAGCCUCCGAAAGUGCUAGGAUUACAGGCAUGAGCCACCAUGCCUGGUCAGAUGACCAAAUCUUGAUCGUUCGUAACCUUGUGAAUAGUGGACAAGUUCUAGUAUCUGUUUCACAGAGGAGGAAACUGAGGCACAGAGAGGUGACAUGAUUUUCGCAACUCACAGAGCUAGUGGUGACAGAGCUGGCAUUUGUUGGAAUGGCCUCCAUUUCAGAACAAGCUCCUAGAAGGGUUUACCAAACCAGGGCUUAAAUUUUUUGAAUUAUUUAUUAAUGGCUCAAAAGUCUGAAGGCGCGAAGGGUAGACAGUGAAAAAUCUCCCUUCUCUUCUGUCCCCAGCCACCCAAAUCCUCCUAGGGAAGCAGCCGGGGUGAUCUGAUUCUCAGGUGUCCUUCUCAGCAGUGUGUGUGUUCCCAGACAAACCCAGCAUGUGUUAUUUAGAACCAGGUUUAAACCCAGGCCUGUGGGAUGCCCAUCUCACCUGGGGCUGCUCAGGGCUUGGGACAGGGUCCACCAUGUCCUGGCAAAGAUAUCGGGCCACCAGAGGCCUCCAUCUCCCCAUCUGGGGUCCCCUCCCUGUCCCAGGUCCCCUCCGGCUGUUGCUGUGCCUCCUCAACGGAGCUGCCUGCCUGGAUCUGCUCCCCAGGCUGCAGCAGAGGCUGGGCUCAGGCCCACAGCCCGGCAGGGCUACAAUGGUGAAGGGCUGCUUUGGGCUGAGGGGGCCUCCCUUCAGGCAGUCUGACACUUGCUUUCAUUAUUCCUCACAGAACGGGCCCAGUGUGGGGAAACAAGCCCAGCAAAGGCAGGGGCCAGAGUGAGGAGGCACUGGGCAGGCGGGGCACACAGGGCACAUCACGGCAGGGCAGGGCAGGGAUGCUGGCUCCACCCCUUUCUGCUGGGAACCGAGUGGGCAUAAUAGCUCCCCGAGCAGCCUCUUUUCUCUGAAGAUUAAGAGACAGUACCUGGAAUUGCUUGGAGAAUGCAGUAAGCGCUCCAGAAGUGGUGACUGGAGUGUUAUAGUUAGGGAGGCUCCGGGCUUUUCCACCACCCUAGACUUCCCUGUGACCCCUGAAAAGCAGAGACACAAGACCCUUGGGGCCUGUGCUCAGGGCUCUGACCCAGUCCCUUCCCCUGUGUGCAUAAAUAUUUGGGGGAUUGUUGUUGUUACUCUUUUUUUUUUUUUUUCUUGAGACAGAGUUUCGCUCUUGUUGCCCAGGUUAAGGUGCAGUGGCACAAUCUCGUCUCACCGCAACUUCUGCCUCCCAGGUUCAAGCAAUUCUCCUGCCUCAGCCUCCUGAGUAGCUGGGAUUACAGGCAUGUGCCACCACGCCCAGCUAUUUUUUUGUAUUUUGCAUAGAGACAGCGUUUCACCGUGUUAGCCAGGAUGGUCUUGAUCUCCCAACCUCAGGUGAUCCGCCCACCUUGGCCUCCCAAAGUGCUGGGAUUACAGGCGUGAGCCACCACGCCCAGCCCUGUUGUUGUUACUCUUAUUGGUGUCCAGUCUUAUGAUGUCCAAUAGGAAACCAGGACUCCCACCUCCACCCUGUUGCCCAGGGUAGCUUUGGUGGAGGGCAGGGCAGCAGUGAAUAUGUGCACAGGUUUGGAGGGUGGGGAGGAGGCUACCAGGAGGCUGGGUGGGGCACAGACAGAGCACAGGGCUAGGAACCAGGCCUUUGGGGUUCCCCUCUUACAUAGGAGCCCUGGGUCUGCCUGAAUCCAGUUCCCUCCUCUAUGAAAUUAGGGUGAUCAUCCCUCUCCCCAUUAACUUCAUGGGAUUUGGGAUGCUCUGGGGAGAGAAUGCAUGAGAGAAUCUUUGCCUUGAACUCCUGGCCUCAAGUGAUCCUCCUGCUUCAGCCUCUUAAACUGUAGGGAUUACUGGGAUUACAGGCAUGAGCUACUGCACCUGGCUGGGGAUCUUUGCCAUCUGCAAAUCAGAGGUGGCAAGCAGGCAUCCACAGGCCUGCAGAACCACAGAGGACAUUAAAGGGAUUUGAUUUGGAAAUAGUAGUAAUGAUUGUGCAAUAUUUUGAAUAUAAUUAAUACCACUGGCCUGUACACUUAAAAUGGUAAAAAUGGGCAGUUUUGUGUAUAGAUUUUUUUUCUUUUCCUUGCCCAUCUUUUUUUUUUUUUUUUUUUUUUUUUUUUGAGACAGGGUCUUGCUCUGUAAGCCCAGGCUGGCAUGCAGUGGUGUGAUCUUGGCUCAUGGCAACCUCUGCCUCCCGGGUUCAAGUAAUUCUCCUGCCUUAGCCUCCCAAGUAGCUGGGAUCACAGGCAUGCACCACCACACCCGGCUAAUUUUUGUAUUUUUAGUAGAGAUGAGGUUUCGCCAUGUUGGCCAGGCUGGUCUCGAACUCCUGACCUCAAGUGAUCCACAGGCGUCGGCCUCCCAAAGUGCUGGGAUUACAGGCGUGAGCCACCAUGCCCGGCCUUACACAGCCAUUUUAAAUAUGGAAAAAAAAAAAGAGGAUUUGAGUUAGUUGCCCUAUCAGUCAGAAAAACAGAACCCACUUUAGGGGGUCCAAUGGGGGAAAUUUUGGAAAGCCAAACAGGAGGCUGGACAGAGGUGGGUUACCCAAACCCAUGGCCUGGGACCACAGAGGUCUAUCUGGAGGGAAUUGUAAGUUUGGAGAAGACCCAGCCACUGCCCAAAGGCUGGAAAAACCCGGGCCUCUUCUAUCUGCCAGUCUCCCUUCAGUGCCUCCCAUUGGCUGGACCUAAUCAACGCCGGUUUGCAAAGGAGCUUGGGAAAUGUAGUUUGAAGGGUUAGUUCCCCCACCUUUCCAGAUGGUGAGCAGAGGAGGGACAGCAAAUGGAUGUGAAAUCAUACAGCAGGCAGGGCAUGGUGGCUCAUGCCUGAAAUCCCAGCACUUUGGGAGGCCAAGGCGGGAAGAUGACUUGAGGCCAGGAGUUUGAGACCAGCCUGGGCAAUAUAACAAGACCCUCAUCUCUACAAAAAAUUUUAAAAAAUUAGCCAGGCAUGGUGGCACACACCUGUAAUCCCAGCUACUAGGAGGCUGAGGUGGAGAAUGGCUUAAGCCCAGAAUUCGAAGCUUCAGUGAGCUAUGAUCGCACCACCGCACUCCAGCCUGGGUGACAGAGCAAGACCCUGUCUCUUAAAAAAAAAAGAAAAAACAUCAUAUGGCAAAUGAGGGUUAUAGUUGUCAACAUGAAAUGACUGGGCGAUUUAGCAUAAAAAUCUGGAUUUAUAGAUUCUCCUGAAACACCAAAGGCUCCACUCCCUUGAGUCCAACAUCUUAGCCUAGUUUUGCUGUUUACAUUGUCCUUGGGGAGCCCUGCUGAGGAGUCCUGAGAAGCCUACAGGGUGAGGGGCAUGAGGGGACCCCAUAUCCUUCAGGGUGGGAUCAGAGGAGGAGAAGCCAUGAGGACCCUGAGGCAGGUGGGCUGAGCAGGCAGGGCCAGGGGAUCCAAUGGGGCCAUCAGUUUCUAGAGAGAGCACAUUGGGGAUCUGGAACUGUGGGGACCUUCCUAUUGUUGCUUUUGUGUGUGUGUGUGUGAGACAGUCUUGCUCUGUCACCCAGGCUGGAGUGCCGUGGUGCGAUCUCAGCUCACUGCAACCUCUGCCUCCCAGGUUCAAGCAGUUCUUUGCCUCAGCUUCCCGAGUAGCUGGGACUACAGGCGCCUGCCACCACUCCCAGCUAAUUUUUGUAUUUUUAGUAGAGAUGGGGUUUCACUAUCUUGGCCAGGCUGGUCUUGAACUCCUGACCUCGUGAUCCACACGCCUCGGCCUCCCAAAGUGCUGAGAUUAUAGGCGUGAGCCACCACGCCUAUUGUAGCUUUUAGAGACUGUCUGGUCUUAACGCAACUGUGAGGGUUGUGUUUGUUCAUUUUAGUUAUCUUUCUGACACUGUCAGGCCCUGUGUUCUAAAUUUUCCAGGAAAGCCCAACGUGUAAACUGAUGACAGACUAUCCUGGAGGAAGAGGUGGGGCAGCCUGGAGUUUUCCUCUGGACAUCCUGAGAGGGAUACUGAAGCACUCAGGAGGGGUCUUAGACCUGCCCAAGCUCACUCACACAGUUUGAGAAGAGCUGCGCUUAGACCACAGGCCUCUUGGCUCCUGGGAAGCUGAGAGCAUCGGCGUGGGAGUUCGUCAGACAGGGGCAAGUUCCAACCGCAGCUCAGUGACCUCAGACAAGCCCCCUCACCUCGCAGAACCAGGUUCUUCUUCAGAGUUGUAGGAAGGAGUGGAGGAGGGUCUCCGCAUGUCAGAUGUCCACACAGUGCCUGGGAGCUGAGGUUGUCAUGGUUACCAAGAGGCCAGUCUCAGGGCUGCUGUGAUGACCUGGGCUGCUCUCCCAUUCCCAAGAAGGGGAGAACUCCUCAGAUUCCCUACUCUGCUCUUCUUGCUCCCUCCCAAGCAAUACAUGAGCAGGAAUUUGUCCUCUGCAGGAAUGUGCAGCGAGAAAGUCUCCUUUUUUGAUGAGACAGCGAUGAGGUGAUGUCUGGUUUUUUAUAUCCUCACUUGCUGAACUGGUGCCAGAUGUAAGAGUCCAGGCUGGAUUCCAUUAGCCAUAUUUGUCCUCUGGGCUCCCAGCCCUGCAGGACCUUCUGGGGGCCCACCUUGAGACCCUCCAGUUGGUAAGAAGUUGGCUGGGGCAAAUGAUGCAGCCCUAAGACGAACCAUUUCCACUGGGGACUCAGGCAGGGUCCCUGAGAGCCUGACUUACUCGAGUCUUUUCUUUAAAAAUUAAAAAAACAAGGCUGGGCGCGGUGGCUCACGCCUGUAAUCCCAGCACUUUGGGAGGCCGAGGCGAGUGGAUCACGAGGUCAGGAGAUUGAGCCCAUCCUGGCUAACAUGGUGAAACCCCUUCUCUACUAAAAAUACAAAAAAUUAGUCGGGCAUGGUGGUGGGCACCUGUAGUCCCAGCUACUCAGGAGGCUGAGGCAGGAGAAUGGCGUGAACCCGGGAGGUGGAGGUUGCAGUGAGCCGAGAUCGCACCACUGCACUCCAGCCUGGGCAACACCGUGAGACGCCAUCUCAAAAAAAAAAAAAAAUUAACAAAACACAUUGAUCUUUUUUUUUUAUUUUUACCGAAGUAAGAAACCCUUUGAAGUUUAGGAGCUGCAACUAAUCCACGUUGAAGGCUAAUCGGAGGCCUAGAUAGGUUAAUACCUUUCCCAGAGGAACCCAGUGGUAAAUGUAAAUGUCAGAUUGAUCAAUUGUAGAUUGAACUUCAGAAGCUGGAGUCCUCAUUACUAUUCUGGGGUGAUGGUCGACUCUAUUUGCUCAACAGAAGGAUCAGUGGCCUGGAGAAUUUGAGAUAGUUGGUGAUAACAUUAUAGGAUUCUAUUUUAAAUGGGAAAGAAAUUCCUAAAAGUUAAACGCAUGUUAAAAAAAACUAUAUUAAGGCCGGGUACAGUGGCUCUUGCCUGUAAUCCCAGCACUCUGGGAAGCCGAGGUGGGAGGAUCGCUUGAGCCUAGGAGUUCCAGAUUAGCCUGGGCAACACAGUGAGACCCCAUCUCUAAAAAAAAGAACAAAAUUAGCUGGCAUGUCAUUGUGCACUUGUAGUCUCAGCUCCUUGGGAGGCUGAGGUGGGAGGAUUGCUUGAGCACAGAAGGGUGAGGCUGCAGUGAACUGUGAUCACACCACUGUGCUCCAGCCUGGGUGACAGAACAAUACCUUGUCUCAAAAAUAAAAAAAUUCAUAUACAAAAAUGCCUGAGGUAUACAAUGAAAGCUCUUGAAAGCCACUGUCUACAGAUAAGCAUUAGAGCCACUUACACAGAUUUUUUCAGAUUUUUCUAUGCAUUUAUAUGUUAAAAUUUAUAUUUUUAAAAGAUUAACACUAUACAUUCUGUUUUGCAGUUUGCUUUUGCAAAUAGCAGUAGCUCCUGAAAUGUGGAAAUUCUUUACCUGGCUGAUUCAUGACAAACUUGGUGGGAGAAGUAGCUGGUAAAGUUUUAUGCAAAAUUGUGUGUUGUGUGUAUGUGAGCAUUCUUUAGAAAUAGUGACUAUGAUUCUCAUCAGAAUCUUAGGAAAGAUUCAGACCCAAGACCCUUGAUUUCAGAUGGGGAAGGGACUCAGUCCUCGGGCUGGCCUUGAAGGAUGAGGACAAGAAUGCUGCAGUCGCCUGGCCCUGGGCAUCCUGCCCUGGCCUUGGAGAGGAGCUGCAUUCUGCAGAGCCAGAAGGAGGACAAGAGAGGCAGCCUGCCCAAGCACCAGGCUGAGCCUCUGCAGUCCCUGCCAGGAGAAGACUUACAGCCGCCGGGAGCUUGGGAAGGUUACAGAGAAAAAGCCUCUCGCAGCACUUGGGAGGACACUGCCUGCAGCACCGCGCCUGCUGUGGGCCUGCUCCAGGGUCAGGGAAGCCUCUGAGGGACAGGCUUGGGGCACAAGGGUGGGUGAGGGGCAGGGGAGAGAGUGUACUCUCUGGGCCAGGACCCCGGCACACCUAGCACACAGACCAUGGGGAGGGUGCCAAACACAGGACUUGGCUACAUUUUGUUACUGUCACUUUGAGUAUUACCUGUGCAAUCGAGCAGGCUUUAUGGAUCUCAGACUGCCCAGGACUUUUCUGGCUGCUAUGGGAGGAUGUAAGAUUUACCAAGAACACCAGCCACCACCCAGAAAGCAGGUUUCUCAUGUGAGCCCUGCGCCAAGCACUGUAUGUGCACAUGCCAGAUUUUAAUUUGCUGUGGGGAGGUGCUUUUAUACUCGCCACUUGACAGUGGCCCCCAAAAAGCCAAGAAACCUGUCCAAGGCCCAUGGGAUCAGCAGGUGUUGAUUUAAUACUGGUACCCCCAGUUGCAGAGUCCCCAGCCUCAACCAUAGGCACUCUCCUCUGCCCCCCGGGGAGGGACUGCCACCCUGACUCAGGGAUGACCUCUGCGAGAUGAGAGCAGAGGGGUUUUGUUCUGUUUCAACCUUUUUUGUUGUUUGUUUUUGAGACGGAGUUUUUGCUGUGUUGCCCAGGCUGGAGUGCAGUGGUGCAAUCUCAGCUCACUGCAGCCUCCACCUCCUGGGUUUAAGCAAUUCUCCUGCCUCAGCCUCCUGAGUAGCUGGGAUUACAGAUGCAUCUCACCAUACCCAGCUAAUUUUUUGUGUUUUUAGUAGAGAUGGGGUUUCACCAUGUUGGCCAGGCUGGUCUCAAACUCCUGACCUCAGGUGAUCCACCCACCUCGACCUCCCAAAGUGCUAGGAUUACAAGUGUGAGCCACUGAGCCCGGCCUCAACCUUUUUUUAUUAUUAUUUUUUGAGAUGGAGUCUCACUCCAUCGCUAGGCUGGAGUGCAGUGGCACAAUCUCGGCUCACUGCAACCUCCACCUCCUGGGUUCAAGUGAUUCUCCUGCCUCAGCCUCCUGAGUAGCUGGGACUACAGGCGCCCGCCACUACACCCGGCUAAUUUUUUGUACUUUUAGUAGAGAUGGGGUUUCACCAUGUUGGCCAGGAUGGUCUCAAUCUCCUGACCUCGUGAUCCACUCACCUCAGCCUCCCAAAGUGCUGGUAUUACAGGUGUGAGCCAUCGCGCUUGGCUUUUUUUUUUUUUUUUUUUUAAACCACAAGCAUGUGUCACUUUUAUAGUUAAGAGGAAAAACAAACUUUUUCUAAAAAUCUGUAUUUCUGAAAUGGUUAGCAGGAGCCCAGCUGAGUCUGGGGUGCUGCAGGCCUCCUGCCUGUGGGGACCUCUCCUAGGCACCUCCUUUCUUAGACCCAUCCUUAGGGCUGGGAGAAACUCCUUCCACAGUGUUCUUGGCUUCAAAGCAGGGCAGGCUUCCCAGAUGGGGAAGCUCAUAGGCUGGUGGGGGUGAGGUGCGGUGGGGAGCGGCAGAGAGACCUUCCAGGCCAGGUGUCCAGCCUAGAAAAAGGCUCAGAAGUGUGCAUGAGUGUGAGCUGUUGUUGGGAAUAAGAAGAUUGUCCCAGGAGGGCCCAGUAUGCACUAGAGGCUUAUAAGUAAUACUGCUGGGGGCCAGGUGUGGUGGCACGCACCUGUAAUCCCAGCGCUUUGGGAGGCCAAGGUGGGCAGAUCACCUGAGGUCAGGAGUUCGAGACCAGCCUGGCCAACAUGGUGAAAUCCUGUCUCUACUAAAAAUACAAAAAUUAGCCAGGCGUGGUGGUGGGAGCCUGUAAUGCCAGCUAUUUAGGAGGCUGAGAUAUGAGAAUCACUUGAACCCAGGAGGCAGAGGUUUCAGUGAGCUGAGAUUACACUGCUGCACUCCAGCCUGGGUGACAGAGUGAGACUCCUCAAAAAAAACAACAACAACAACAACAAAAAGAAAUAGGCCGGGCAUGGUGGCUCAUACCUAUAAUCCCAGCACUUUGGGAGGCCGAGGUGGGUGGAUAACCUGAGGUCAGGAGUUCGAGACCAGCCUGGCCAACAUGUUGAAACCCUGUCUCUACUAAAAAUACAAAAAUUAGGCAGGCGUGGUGGCACGCACCUGUAGUCCCAGCUACUCAGUGGGCUGAGGCAUGAGAAUCGCUUGAACCCAGGAGGCGGAGAUUGCAGUGAGCUGAGAUCGUGCCACUGCACUCCAGCUUGGGCAACAGAGCAAGACUCUGUCAAAAAAAAAAAAGAGAAAGAGAAAAGAAAGAAAAAAGAAUGAAAGAAAGAGAA